GGGGGUGAACUAGAUUCGACGUGUAUUCGGAUCCUGAGGCAGCGUGCCGAGGUGUCCCGGAACCUCGUGAAACACCGGGAAAACACACAAUUGCCAACGACAACUUGGCUCUGGCUGCGUAACUGACGUGGCCCGUUCUCCGAGUGGCCCGCCCGAGGCGGCUCGAAGAACGCCGAUAAUUCGGGCUGGUCUCUACGGCAUGUCACGGGUCGUGGAGAUGAGAUGGCGCAAGCCGCACGUGGCUGGCUGACGACAGGCCGUCGAGGAGCCUUGCCGUCGGCGAGACUCGAUCCUCGAAUACGCACGUAGAGACCGAGGGGGAAGACUUCACGGACCCGGGUGCGAUUCCCGGCACCUCCAUCA
rnacentral:tmRNA from 1 species